CGUGCACAUCCUGUCCAACAUCCUCAGGGAAGCACAGGCCAGCAGGACUGCAGCAUCAGGCAGCUCUGAGUCCCUCGGUGCCCUGAGUGCCUCCUGAGCUGAGCAGGAGCAGUGGCACUGUCCCUGAUGUGCCCUCUGGGGAACAGCCUGUCACGUCACAUCUGGGGGUUUUGUCCUGCGUUUGGCCUUCACGAAUUAUUUGGGUUUGGAGACUGGUGUUUUUCUCCCCUAUAGAUUUCCUUUCUCUUUUUCUCCCCGGCUUUUCUUUAGUUUUGAUGUUUGUUUUCUUCUGUUUUUCAUGCUUUUAGGUAAAAUUUGGCACUUCAAGUUCAUCUUUUUUAGUAAUUGGGGAUGUUUCACUGGUUAAUGAAGGUCAUGGCUAAGGUUCCAGGAUUAGCUAUUGUUAAAAGCUGCUGUGCCAAGUUCCUCAUAAAUAAUUCCCAGCAGAAUUCUCUUCUAGUGUUUGUCAUGCUAACAUAAUUUCAAUUCAGAAUUAAAGACAAAUGCUAUUAGGACUCAAUGAAGCAAAUUCAGGAAAGGAUCAUUUAACAUAACACUGAUAAAACUGGCAGUAGAUUACAGGAAAUUUCUUGUCUAUGCAAGUGUUGUAAGUUUCUGCAUUUAUGACAUUUUCUUUUAAAUCUGAAUGUUUGAUACAUUCAUUUUAUGGGUAAACAGAUUUUUUUUUUUUUUUUAACUUAGGGUAAGGCUCCUCAAAAGAGAAAUGCUCUUUUACGUAUAAUUUUUACAGCCAGAUUAUGAACUAACAGUAUUUUUAUAUGUAAUUCUUAACAACAGAGAGAGAAUUUUGAAGAUAUUUGAACACUUAAGAGAAAAUAUACCAUAGUAACUUCAUAAUACUUUGUUAAUUUGUAAUCCUUGUUGAGGGCUCAAGCUAAUAAUUGUGUCUUCACCGAAGAUUCAUAAUGUAGGCAGAGAGUCUGGUAACACAAUCUGCAUUCCAGUGACUAAUAUCAUCCAAACUCUUCAGUGACUAGUCUCAUCCAAAAAAGGUCUGUUCUUUGAAGUCAGCAGAUACUGGGUCAGACUUUAAAGGGAAUUCAUGCAUAAUUAUAUUAUAUAAAAAGGAAUUGGUCUAUAUCAAAAGAGAUAUAAGCACACAUUUGAAGAAGUGCUUAAUAGUUCUUCAUAUGACAGCUCUGGCUUUCUCAGUAGCAGCUUGUGCUAAACAUUCUGGUUAAGCUGACACAGAGAAACAUAACGGCACCUGUCAUAGGAGCAAGAAGUUCUUCUGGUGCUCCUGAAAUAUCCCUUCCUGGCUACAAUUUUUAGAGGAGCCGUACAACAACUGCCACUGCUUCUUCACCUCAUCAGACAGGACUCCUCAUCUCCCAUGAAGCAGCCUGUAAAAGCCUACUUUUUGCUGCUCUGUGGAGCAGUCAGGCUGAGAAACCUCUGCAGUCCUCUGGGGUUAAGGAAGAUGGUGUGAAAAAGAAGCCACAGAAGGAACACCUGUGCAACUAGCAGGAGAAAAUAUUGUUUUGGGAACAGAAGAAUUAAUUGCUGGCUGUUGUGGCUGUGUGGAAAAUUAGGUCACCCUAAUUUUUCAUACUAUUUUAAGACCAGGUAACUAAUCACAAAGCAGUAGUGUAAUAAGGUCAGAGAGUUUUUAUGGGGCUGUUAGACAAGUCAUAGACACCUGUACAAGUGGGAGAGCUCCCAGGAUGUGUGAGCUCAGCAAGGGUUUUGCUCAAUAUCCUACCAUUUCAACACUUAAUUUUGUGCUUUUUCUGAUUAAUCAUAAAAUCUCAUCCAGCUGACUUCCAAAGCCAACUGCAUCAGGUAGUCCUCUGUUCCUUAAAACACAGAGCCUCUCCCUGUCCCUCUCCAAUGGAAAUUCUCUGGGAAAUGUCUGAUGUGAACCAUGCCAAGGUCCUACCAGGCUGAAUUUCUUGCUACAAUUUUAGUAUUUCUCUGGAUUUGACUUGUUCCUUCUAAUGACAAUACAAAACCUCUGCCCUGCCUUUUCUCCUUGACAUGUAGAAGUUUGAACACAACUGUAUCUUACUGGAUUAUUUUGUCCUUCUUUUUUUUUUUUUCUUCUUUAUCUUUUCUUCUUUUUUUAAUGCUGUUUUGACAGCCAGUCAAUUUUUUUACCUCCUUUUGAAGAAGCUACUCAAAAGGGCAGGAGCACAUGAGCUAACUUCAGGGAUAGUAAAGGAAAGGUAUUUUUAGAGUAUGGGGAACACAAAAAAGAAAUGGUUUAUUUAUUGUAAAAAGCUGGAGGUCCUUAGCUUUGAGGCAGGCUGAUGGCAUGUCUGCCACACUUAUGACAGACACUUGAAAGUGCAGAGAUGUUCUACAGCACUUCAAGGAAUUUCCCACUCUGCAAAUAAUGCUGCAGAAGAAACAUUCAAGUACAAGCAGCACAUUGCAGAAAAUCCAGGUGGGAUGUUUAACAAACUUCCAGUUUUAUGAAGUAGGGGAAUUCCAUUAGGAGUGUGGACUAUUUGCUUUAACACAAUCAUUCAUUGGGAUAAGAGAAGUAGAACUUGCUCUGUAGGUUUGUAGUUGCUGAAAUUAAUAAGUGUGGCUCAUCACUCUCUGCAGUACUAUACCAAUUUACUGUGCUCUUUUAUCUCAAUUACUUUCUGUGUGUGUCUUAUAUUUCUUUAUUAAACUUCAGUAAUUGUAACACUGUGGUAAUAACAUUGACAUACUGAGUAUUAUAUGAUGGGCUAUUUUACAUUACUCUGACUGCCUUAUUUACAUUAUAAUUAUUAGUGUCUAUGUAAAUGUGAUUCAUUGAA